rnacentral:tRNA from 1 species
UAGAUUGUAUCUUAAUAAAAGUAUUUCAUUUACAUUGAAAAGAUAUUAAUUUUUUAAUUAAUCUAA